GGGGGGGGCAAGCGUUGUUCGGAAUUACUGGGCGUAAAGGGCUCGUAGGUGGCCAACUAAGUCAGAUGUGAAAUCCCUCGGCUUAACCGGGGAACUGCGUCUGAUACUGGAUGGCUUGAGUUUGGGAGAGGGACGCGGAAUUCCAGGUGUAGCGGUGAAAUGCGUAGAUAUCUGGAGGAACACCGGUGGCGAAGGCGGCGUCCUGGACCAACACUGACACUGAGGAGCGAAAGCCAGGGGAGCAAACGGGAUUAGAUACCCCGGUAGUCCUGGCCCUAAACGAUGAAUGCUUGGUGUGGCGGGUAUCGAUCCCUGCCGUGCCGAAGCUAACGCAUUAAGCAUUCCGCCUGGGGAGUACGGUCGCAAGGCUG
rnacentral:rRNA from 1 species